GCAGUGGUGGCGCAGUGGUAGAACUCUUGCCUUUCAUGCAGAAGACCCGGGUUCAAUUCCUGGCCAGUGUA
rnacentral:tRNA from 1 species